AUGACACUGAGGAACCUCAAAACACUGUGCUCAGCGAAGGAAGCCAGCACAGAAGAUCACAUUACACUGUCAUUUCACACCAGACCUCCAGAACUGGGAAAUCCAGGGAAACGGGAACCAGGUGAGUGGUUGCCAGGGUCUGGGGGCACUGUGGGGGAUGAGGGGAGGCUGCUAAUGAGUAUGGCCUUUCUUGCUUUUCCUUCUUUUGCUCAUCUGUUUGUUCUGUUUUUUUGUUUUUUGUUUUUUGUUUUUGAGAUCAAGUCUCACUCUGUUGCCCAGGCUGGAGUACAGUGGAGUGAUCUUGGCUCACUGCAACGGCAACCUGACCUUUGUGGGCAAUCUGACCUUGUGGGCAAUC
rnacentral:lncRNA from 13 species